GCGAGUGGGACUAUCAUCACCUGGCUACAGAGAGCACCCCCAGUCUGGUAACUACUAAAGUCACUUCCUUUAUGUUCACCCUAUUAAUACUUCCUUUAAUGUUCUGUCUAGGGAGACGGCAGUGAGAUCCAGAAAGAGAAGAAGAACACGGCUGUCAUAACCCCUUGAGUGAGUGAACUAUCUAAAUGAACUUUCUAGUGAGCUCGAGAGACCACUCAGGGUCACUGUGACGCAGAACUGGAGAAGACGCCUUCACGCCGGUUUUAAUGGAUAAGUGUUACGCUGAGUUGCCGGCUGACCUUCAGCAAUGAAGAUCCUUUAUCUGCUGUUUGCAGUUUUCCUUCUAGUGCUCCAGGGUGCACCAGCAUUCUCCCAGGCUAAUAAUCCCUACCUGCAAUGUAGACUCCGUGGGGGUAAUUGUUACUUUAGGAGCUGUCUCUUCAAUUCUAAAAUCAUUGGCUUGUGUGCUAGACAUCAUUUCUGCUGUCAAAGGCGACUUUCUGACUGAUUGUCUAGGCAGGAUCUCUGGGAAUCUGGCAGACAGCCAUUUGCUUCUAAAAUCAUCAGAUCCUGCUUCAAUGGAACACUGACGUGCUGUUUAUUUGGGCUGUAAAAAAUCUUGUGAGUUGGAGAAAUUCCAGAAGGGAUCCAUUGUAUCACCCAUAUAAGAUUUGUUACUCUCCUUUUAAUAAAAGCAAGUUGGUUUCAGAUAAUAUUGCUGAAGUGUGUAUGGGUGGGAGGCAAGGGGGCUGUUUCUAUCAUUCAUCUCCUUUAGAAUUCCAACUUGUUUAUUUUUUUAAAUUUAAAAUAAAAUAAAAUUCCCUAAAAAUC